rnacentral:rRNA from 1 species
GAUUAAGCCAUGCAUGUGUAAGUGUAAAUAUAGUAGUUUGGAACUGCGAAUGGCUCAUUAUAUCAGUUAUAGUUUAUUUGGUGAAGUGUACUACUUGGAUAACCGUAGUAAUUCUAGGGCUAAUACAUGAGAAAGUCCUCUGGUGAGGUGUGUUUAUUAGAAUGAAAACCAUAUGCUUCGGCAUGAUAGUGAGUAAUAGUAACCUAUCGUAUCGCAUGCUUAAUGUAGCGAUGAGUCUUUCAAGUUUCUGCCCUAUCAGCUUUCGAUGGUAGUAUAUGGGCCUACCAUG